rnacentral:lncRNA from 1 species
AUGCAAUGCCACAGCAGAACGUGGUGUGGGGGGGCUGUUGGUGAUCCCACUUUUACAGAGAGAGCUGGCCUGCAGAGUGGGGUCAGCCCGGGGCAGGGGGCGGGAGGAGAAGAUGGGAGGCAGAGGUGGGGUGCAAGGCUGGCUUUGAGGCAAGAAUUGGUGGCUCCAACAUGGAGGAGCUCACGGGGAGCAGGGCUCCUACUCCUAAGCCCGGAAAAGACCCCAUGUCUCGUGGCCUCCACCCCUCUCGGCUCCUCUGCUCCCCCCUGGGGGCUCUCUCACGGCUGUGGGCUCCUGCCAGGCACACCUUUGCACCCCGCCCAGCACGCAUGCGCAGCUCACCCCUGCCCUCCACAAAGACACAGCGCGGUUGCCCAGAUGGUUCUGGGCCGGUCUGCAUGUCCCCAGAGUCAGGGCUGCGGGACGCAGAGCCGUGAAGAGGUGACUCGGGCUCACAGAGGUCACUGGGGCGGACACUGAUCCCAUCUGACCGGUGACCUUACAGCAAGAGACGGGACACAGACGCACGGCGGGGAAGACUGCGGGGACGCAGGCAGGGGGCAACUAUCGACGUGCCCAGGACAGGCCUGGACAGAUCGCCCGCCACAGCCCACACAGGCCGGCAACCCAGCCGACACCUUGCUCCCGGAAUCCUAGUCCCCGGAAUUGUGCGCAUUCCGUGAAGUCCCCCGUGUCCCACGCGCAUGGCAGCUCCAGGACACGAAGGCCCAGCCUGGAGUUUACCCUCUGCCUUCCCUGCAGGUUCUGUGCCUCCCAUUCCAGGGCAGAGGCUGCCUCUCCCAGGAAGGCUGCAAGGAUUGAGCUCACUCUUUCCCCUCGCAGCUGUGUGUGGAGCACUGGUCUGCACUGACUCACGGGCCGCUCUGUAAAUGCUGCUAAGUGAACCGAGUGUGGCUUUUACUGUAGGAGAGAAACUGUGAACUUUCUACUGCCACGAUGAUUUCUUGCACCUGCAAGAGGCCCACUAGGCACUUGGAGCCUGGCAGGGCCUUGGUGCCCAGGCUGACCGGGGACCAGGUGGGGAGGGAGGAGCAGUGGGGAGCCGCUCCCUGGUUUGCCUGCCCAACAGCUGCAGGCCCCGUGACUGGUUAAUCCUGGAGCCCAGGUCAUCAGCUGUGUGCCUGGCCCUGAGCUGGGGGGGCACAGGCACAUAGUCUUACCCCCCCCCCCAGAAGAUCUGAGUCAAACAGAAGAGGUUGUGGGAGCCAGGAGAAUCAGAGGGGAAACUGAGGCGCCACCCACACAGAGGAGCCAGAGAGGGCUCAGGUCUGCAGAGGACCUGGGUCCUAAGCUGGCGCCGAAGGCUGGCAGAGUGUGGACUGGUUGUGGCAGGGGCGGGCCCAGCCCAGGCGUGCAGAGCAGCUCCUGCGGUGGUAUGGCUUAUGAACAGGAGUCUGGUGGACUGCCUGGAGGAGGUGCUCAUGGUGGGGGGUGCCCCAGGCUGCCUGGGCCCCAGAAG